rnacentral:rRNA from 1 species
UUGGAGGGCAAGUCUGGUGCCAGCAGCCGCGGUAAUUCCAGCUCCAAUAGCGUAUAUUAAAGUUGUUGCAGUUAAAAAGCUCGUAGUUGAACUUCGGGGUCUACCCAUUGGUCAGGCUUAAUUGUCUGCACUGGUGAGAUGGAUCUCUACCUUCUGAGGAACUUUCAUGCCAUUUAUUUGGUGUGAUGGGAAAUCAGGACUGUUACUUUGAAAAAAUUAGAGUGUUUAAAGCAGGCUCACGCUUGAAUACAUUAGCAUGGAAUAAUGAAAUAGGACGUUUUGAUUCUAUUUUGUUGGUUUCUAGGAUCGACGUAAUGAUUAAUAGGGAUAGUUGGGGGCAUUAGUAUUCAAUUGCCAGAGGUGAAAUUCUUGGAUUUAUUGAAGACUAACUACUGCGAAAGCAUUUGCCAAGGAUGUUUUCAUUAAUCAAGAACGAAAGUUAGGGGAUCGCAGACGAUCAGAUACCGUCGUAGUCUUAACCAUAAACUAUGCCGACUAGGGAUCGGAUGAUGUUAAUUUUUUAAUGACUCAUUCGGCGCCUUACGGGAAACCAAAGUGUUUGGGUUC